rnacentral:rRNA from 1 species
AUGGCGCGCUCGUCCUCCAAUGCUGGAGAUGUUGGCUACUAUCCCAACCCAUCUCCGAUUCCUUACCGUGAGCACGCGCUAGCAUAUGAGCCAGCUUCGAAUUGCUGGUGCGAAGAGAAAGGGGCGAGGAGAAUCUCUUGGACCAACGCUAACCCUGGUCGCAGGUUUCUGAACUGCCAAAAAUCUCGUGACGGAGGUUGCAAGUGGUUUGAUGACCCUACUACACCAUUCCUUCGCCAACUUUUGGUCGAUUUGCGUGACACGGUGCACAACCUGCGGAGGGAGAACGCUCGGCUCAAUUGA